UCAGGGUGAAAUUCAGGCCCCGGGGGUCUU
rnacentral:sRNA from 1 species